AUAGACCAUGUAUGAACCAUCACUGACAGCUAGCAAGACUUAAUACAUGGAUUACUCUAGGAUGUGGGUAUGGGCCUUGGAUAGGGUGGGGCAGGGAAGGAUGUGUCAUAGAAGGAAAGGUGAUAUCAUACCUUCAGCAGGGGAAGUGAUUCCCCUCUGAAGGAGGCUGCAGAGUAGUGGAGUACAGCCUGAUUCACAAAAGGCUACAAGAAAGUUCAGGCUGAAGAUAGAGACGCAGGAGGGGAGACAGAGAGGAGUCUAUUCAGAAUAGAGAAUGUCAGGAUGUCUAAGGAGCAGGGGAGGCUCAGAGGCAGCUGUGUCACCAAAGCAACACUCCAGGAUGAUCGAGGACUCCAGAAAGCUGCAGCCUGAGAGAUCUCUGCAGGACUCGUAGGCCAUGCCAUAGGGACUGAAGUUGGAUACCAACAACCGGAACAGAAGAAAGCUUACAAAGUCAUGGAAACUGGACAAAUCACUACUGAGUGAAAAAUGUAUUCUAUAAUUGAACAAAAAUGAAAAUUCAACAUAACCAAACCUAUUAGAUACAAUAAAAACAGUUCUAAGAGGCAAAAAUCAUACCACUAAAUGCCUAUAUUAAAA
rnacentral:sRNA from 1 species